rnacentral:rRNA from 1 species
CUUGAAACACGGACCAAGGAGAAUAUCUCUUAAGGGAAGAUGGAAAUAGCACAUACAUUAUAUGUUUGUGAAGAUUUCCCGCACUCCCAGGGCGCUUGUAUCUCGCUUUGCGAAUCGAUGCGCACCUAGAGCGUACACGAUGAUACCCGAAAGAUGGUGAACUAUGCCUGGCCAGGACGAAGCCAGGGGAAACCCUGGUGGAGGUCCGCAGCGAUUCUGACGUGCAAAUCGAUCGUCGGAGCUGGGUAUAGGGGCGAAAGACCAAUCGAACCAUCUAGUAGCUGGUUCCCUCUGAAGUUUCCCUCAGGAUA